AUCUUCGGACCWCGCGCUAGAGAGGAGCCUACGUCCGAUUAGCUAGUUGGCGGGGUAAAGGCCCACCAAGGCGACGAUCGGHAGCUNGUCUGAGAGGACGACCAGCCACACUGGGACUGAGACACGGCCCAGACUHCUACGGGAGNCAGCAGUGGGGAAUUUUUCGCWAUGGGGGCAACCCUGACGAAGCAAUGCCGCGUGGAUGAAGAAGGCCHHCGGGUUGUAAAGUCCUWUCGUNGAGGACGAAAAGGUGGGUUCUAAUACAAUCUGCUAUUGACGUGAAUCCAAGAAGAAGCACCGGCUAACUCCGUGCCAGCAGCCGCGGUAAUACGGGGNUGCAAGCGUUAAUCGGAAUCACUGGGCGUAAAGGGUGCGUAGGCGGUACGUUAGGUCUGUCGUGAAAUCCCCGGGCUCAACCUGGGNAUGGCGGUGGAAACCGGUGUACUAGAGUAUGKGAUAGGGUNUGGMAUUCCAGGUGUAGCGGUGAAAUGCGUAGAGAUCUGGAGGAACAUCAGUGGCGAAGGCGGCCACCUGGCCCAAUACUGACGCUGAGGCACGAAAGCGUGGGGAGCAAACAGGAUUAGAUACCCUGGUAGUCCACGCCCUMAACGAUGAAUACUAGAUGUUUGGUGCCCUGCGUACYGAGUGUCGUWSUAACGCGAUAAGUNUUCCGCCUGGGCNGUCGGCCNUCCNGG
rnacentral:rRNA from 1 species